CGCCUCUUGAACACUAUAAGAGGUCCAGCCUGCCCAGUGACCCUGUUUAACGGCCGCGGUAUCCUAACCGUGCGAAGGUAGCGUAAUCACUUGUUCUCUAAAUGCGGACUAGUAUGAACGGCAUCACGAGGGUUAUACUGUCUCCUUUUUUUAAUCAGUGAAACUAAUCCCCCCGUGAAGAGGCGGGGAUAAAACUAUAAGACGAGAAGACCCUAUGGAGCUUUAAACAAUAUAGCACUUGCCUUUUAACAUAAAAAUUUCCGAAUCUCACUCCAAAGCGAUAUGACUAUAAGUUUUUGGUUGGGGUGACCGCGGAGCAAAAUUUAACCUCCAUGUUGAAAGAAUUUAAGCUAAGAAUCACUCUUCUAAGCAUCAACAUAUUGACAUUAAUUGACCCAAUACAUUUGAACAACGAACCAAGUUACCCUAGGGAUAACAGCGCAAUCCACUUCAAGAGCUCCUAUCGACAAGUGGGUUUACGACCUCGAUGUUGGAUCAGGGUCUCCCAGUGGUGCAGCCGCUACUAAAGGUUCGUUUGUUCAACGAUUGAAACCCUACG
rnacentral:rRNA from 1 species